rnacentral:rRNA from 1 species
UGGGGAAUAUUGGACAAUGGGGGCAACCCUGAUCCAGCAAUGCCGCGUGUGUGAAGAAGGUCUUCGGAUUGUAAAGCACUUUCGACGGGGACGAUGAUGACGGUACCCGUAGAAGAAGCCCCGGCUAACUUCGUGCCAGCAGCCGCGGUAAUACGAAGGGGGCUAGCGUUGCUCGGAAUGACUGGGCGUAAAGGGCGUGUAGGCGGUUUAGCACAGUCAG